CCUCGCCGCCAGUGGGUGCUCGCCGCCGGCCCCAGGUGUUCACUAAUGCAGGAGAGAGAUCGCUGAGACGGUUUGGGUUCGGGAGGCGAGAUUCGUGACGUGCUGGUGACGUGGACAGAAGCCGCGGGGAGCUCCUCGGCUCAGCCUCACGCGAGCGGCAGAUACCUGACUUCCCGGCUGUGAGGAGGAGCUGCUUCUUGCCUGGAAUCUUUUCACGGGAGGCGGUGGCUGAGCGGUGCGUUACAGGGCCUUGAAGUACAUCCCGCCGCUACGAGCAUCGCCGAGUGUGCCGUCCUGGUUAACCUAGCAACUCGGAGUCUGUUCCCCGCCGCUGCGUCAUUUUGUGAGAGGGCACUUGUCAUCGGUUGCCUACGCGUGGGACUUCAGCAAAUGGAAAAGAAAAUACAAGAAAAGGCGUAAAAGGCAGGCAAGGCAAGAACGAGCAUACAGAUUGACACGCACUCAGGCAGAUAUCGACGCUCUGUCAAGAUGAUGGGAACGAGCAAACAGCGAGGAGUGUGUCGUGUCGAUCAGCGUGUCCUGUCGUCUACAGAGAGGAACUCGUCGAGAAGUUGAGGGGUCGACCUUUUCCCCUGUUGACGUGCUGACCAUCAAUCCUGCCUCGGCGCUCUCCUCCCCGCACCAAGGUAUAAAGUGCUCAGUUGCAACCACUUAGCCCACGAGACUCACAAAGCAAGUCGAGAGCUCCUGAUGUGUGACCGGCAGCUGCAUCGUGCCAUGGGUUGGGUCGUCCGCUGUCCCGUGUGGCGUCCAGUGUGUGCUCCCGACACCGCACCUGAAAGAAAUGAGAAGAAUCAAGAUCAGUUCAGCUGCCUCAGUAAUCCAUCAUGUCUCAUAGUGCAGGGAUUAUUAACAUCAUGACUGUAGACUUUGUUUAAAGAUGUUUCGGCGAUGUGUAAAGGUUGCUCAAUUAAAAACCCUGACCCAGACA